rnacentral:rRNA from 1 species
CAGUCGCCACGGGAAAACGUAGGGGGCAAGCGUUAUCCGGGUUUACUGGGUGUAAAGGGAGCGCAGACGGCUCUGCAAGUCUGAAGUGAAAGCCCGCGGCUUAACCGCGGGACUGCUUUGGAAACUGCAAGGCUUGAGUAUCGGAGGGGCAGGCGGAAUUCCUAGUGUAGCGGUGAAAUGCGUAGAUAUUAGGAAGAACACCGGUGGCGAAGGCGGCCUGCUGGACGAAAACUGACGUUGAGGCUCGAAGGCGUGGGGAGCAAACAGGAUUAGAUACCCCGGUAGUCCCUGUCUCUUAUAC